rnacentral:lncRNA from 1 species
GGAUGACAUUUUGGGCAUUGGUAAGAACUGAAUUUCAUAUGGGAAGAGAAGAGAUUGUGAGGUUGGAACCAAGGGUUUUAUUGUUCACAUAGACUUCGGAAGAAAUGUGAGCGUGUUGAGAUGCUGAAAAUAAAAAUGAAAAAAAAUGGGAGAUCACGUUAACUCAAGUUAGUUCAAUUAGGGAUUUUUUUUUUUUUCCUUUCUAAAUAAAAAUUGUGAGGUUUUUGGGUUGGGUGCUGCUAUUUCCACCCACCUGUCCUAUUUUCCCACCACCUUAUCUUCCCACUCACCAUGUAAAUUUGAAAAAACACAAUCCUAUCUUUCCCCCCACCAUUAUUCUUAAAAUACCCUUUAAUUAUUAAUUCAAGCAAAUUUUUUCUGUUAACUUGUGAGUCAUUUAAAUUUAAUCUAAUGACUGAAAAGAGCAAUUGUUUGCUCUAAUUGGAGAGAUUGACGACGAAAACAAAACCAAUAGAACUUGUUUUCAACAUGAGCAUCUGAUUACAUAUUGGGAUUUGCUCCGAGGGAGGAGAAGACUUUUGCCAUGUCGAUCAUUGGGAUUUGUUGGCCUCCUACAAAUGGGAAGACUACAUGAUGACUGGAGCAUAUAAUGAAGAAUCCAUGAUUUUGGCUCAAAACUUUUGGGGUUAUGGUUUUAGGAUGGAGAUAAGAUAAGAGGUUGAUGGGUGCUUUGGAUUUGACGUUUGAUCUUUGUGCUUUGGAUUUUUUUUUUUUCAACUUUUUUAAAUUUUAAGUUCGGGGCAAUUGGUUUGUUUUUUUAAUCAUUUUUCAUAAGUCCUUAAAAGUCAUUUUAUGAAGGGAUAAAUUUGUUUUUAAAAUUUUGAAGAUAAGGUGGGUGGAAAAAUAGAACAGUUUGGUGGAAAUAGCAGCACUCUUUGGGUUUUGUAUGUGAUGUGUCUAUAUGAAAGCCCUAGAAUGAAAUUUUAAUGAGAUGGCAUGUGUAGAAGAAAACUCAAACAGAUAAUGGUAGAGAUAAUCCAAGCAGAGGAUCCAGAUCCCUUUGGCAACUCUCAUCAGUCUCUCUCGAAUGAAAUUUCAUAAGUGUAAAUCUACUUGACCCAAGAAAUCAAACCUUCUAUCUUCCCUCCUUACCCUGAAAGGAGGUAUUCCUACUUCCUACAAAUCAAAGUUUGACACAUAUGCAAAAAUUAUUCAUCAAAAACAUAACAAGAAGAAUCUCAGUACACAUAUCAAACUGUGAUUAGCAAGAAAGUAGGAAUUCCUACUUCUAGAAAAGGAGGCAAGUAGUUUUCUUUCCAUUUUCUGAAUUUUAAAUUUUAUUUUUCAUCUUCUAAAUAGUAACCAAAAGACCAAACGAGUUUGGUCUCUUCUUCCCCGCUUGACUCCCUUUCUUCGAGUUACGCAUCAAUGCUAUAGUGAAACCAAAGGUGGAAACAUGAGUUUUCACUAUGUUGGGAUAUAAAUUUUUGCCUCUAUUAUGGAGAGUAUUUUUGCCCACUCUCCUUUCUUUGGGCUAGACAUCUUUUAUUUAUUUAUUUAUUUUUAUGCGAUUCAAGGUAGAAAGAAACAAUAAUUUUCACUAUGUGGGGAUGUAAUUUUUUUUUUCUUUUUUCAUUUGGGUAUAUUAUGACGAGCAUUUUCAGAGUCCGGACUAAUGUUCCCUAAUUCGUGUCCCCACCAUUUCCAUUAUAUAAAAUUUUGACAUGUGUCC